ACAUUGGUGGUUCAGUGUUAGAAUUCUUGCCUUCCAUGCAGGAAGCCCAGAUAUGAUUCCCGGCCAAUGCA
rnacentral:tRNA from 1 species